UCACACUGAAACAACUCCCAUUGGUAGUUUUAUUUUAUUACUUCUAUCAUGAUUGGUUAAUCUGGCUGUCAUUCAGGAAACUGGACAAUGAAUCGGUUCGCGCUUUUCUACAUUUAAAAAUAUGACCGUUAUUGUCGUCUUUCUGUGAGUGAGGCGGCUAACUGUGAGCUGCUGCUCGUUAUAACUGACUGCUCGGUCGGUCCCGAAUUAUUUCAUAUUUGCCUGUACAUUUUUUAUUUAUUUUGAGCGAAUUUGAGUCGUGACAUGUCAAUGGAGAACAAAAACUGUGAACACAAGAAGGGUCAGGUGUUCUGCGAGGUCCUGAAAACAUCCUGUCAAAAUGAGAUGAUCAAGUUAGAUGCUCACCUAAUGUGUUACUGAGUCAUCGAGGAUCCAGCUUGUUCUUGAAACAUUGAAGUUUGCACUCUGCAAGUGAACGACUCCUUGUGGUGCCAUCCCAAAGAAGUUCAAAAUCACUCUCACGGACCUUUUCCUGGACUGUGCCCAGCUGGUGGAAUCACCUCCCAAUCUCAAUCCGAACUGCUGAGUCUUUACUCAUUUUCAAGAAACAUUUUAAGACUCAUCUUUUUCACCGGAACUUAACCAACUAAUGCUAGCACUUUUCCUUCUUUUCUUGUCUUUCAUAUUAAAAAAAAAAAAACCUGGCUAUGCAUUCUGUACUAGACUAACUGAGACUUGUCAUGGCACUUGUAUACUGUUGUUGUUCGCUUGUACACCUGACUGCUUCUGUUCUUCUCAUUUGUAAGUCGCUUUGGAUAAAAUCGUCUGUUAAAUGAUUAAAUGUAAAUGUUUAUACAGGACGGUACAGAAAGUGCACAAGUGGGAGAGAGUGGAGGGGACGGCAUCAGAAAGGACCUAGCGCUGGGACACUUUCAAGGAUCACCCGAAGCACAACCACACUGUAUACACUAAGGCUGCUGGUUCUAACAUUUUAGAGUGCCCUGCGGUAGAAAUCUCAUUCUGCAUUCCCCACGGUAAAGAAGACACAGUCCGGGGGGGUUCCCAUUAGAAAUCAACUGGUGGAAGGUUCCCUUCUCGAACUGUUAAACACAUUUUCACUGCACAAAUGUACACAACUCUUGUAAUGAGACACAUUACUAAAACAUGUUUUUGACAGAAACUGUAGGUUUCCACCAAAAUAAAAGAUCCACUGGUUUCAGUCAUAAAGGUACAAGGGUUUGUCUUGUAAGUGCUGCAAAAAAAUAUGCAUUUAUGUGCCAAA